UCCGAACCGCUAGAUGGCAGCAGUACACAAACACGAGGCCAUAUCUCACGAGAAAGAUUUCCGCUGUUUGAAAAGCAACAACAUCAGCGAGCAGCCAGGAGGAAAGCAAUCUACCACACUCGUUUGGUCUUGUGUCAAAGCUGUGCGAAACUGGAGGGAGAAACUUGAGAGACCGGGCGGGAAGAAUGCUGGACAGAGUUCACUAAAAUUCAUUAAUUUCAAAGUUCAACAUGAAUGGUGGUGGUCCACUGCAGAAGCAAGCAUUUGAAAAAACAUCAGUUCUCAGUUAUUAAAGGGAAGUGUGUUUGUAUGUAGUUUUAGGCUGAAUGGUGUUUCACAAAAUAAUACUUUUAAUAUGACAUUAGGCUAUGUGAGGAGUAAUUGACGACAAUCCGGUACUGCCUUAAUAUUUUCUAAAUAUUAAAAGCCCCAGAUUAAAUUACUCUUUGCCGAUACAACCGUUAACUCACCCAUACAAUAUUGUUUAGAUGUUUUAUUUUUAGACAUUUGACAGGUUUUAUGUCCAUAAGAUUGUAUUGUGAAUAUUUUAUGCUUGGCAUCUUAAAGGCACACAAGGCAAGUCUGAGAAUUAUUUCUCUACUAGCUCCCCCUAGUGUCUGGGAGUAAAUGCGUUCUAUAUCUAACACUAUACGAGACUGAAGGACACCGGGUCGGAUACAGCGAACUUGCAAGUGGGGUAUUCUUCCUACAGACGGUAGGGGCGGGCGAGAAAGU